rnacentral:rRNA from 1 species
CAGGAUGAACGCUGGCGGCGUGCCUAAUACAUGCAAGUCGAACGCAUCACUUCGGUGAUGAGUGGCGAACGGGUGAGUAAUACAUAAGUAACCUGGCCCAUACAGGGGGAUAACUGCUGGAAACGGCAGCUAAGACCGCAUAUGUGUAGAGAUCGCAUGAACUCUAUAUGAAAAGUGCUACGGCACUGGUAAGGGAUGGACUUAUGGCGCAUUAGCUAGUUGGCAGGGUAAAGGCCUACCAAGGCGACGAUGCGUAGCCGACCUGAGAGGGUGACCGGCCACACUGGGACUGAGACACGGCCCAGACUCCUACGGGAGGCAGCAGUAGGGAAUUUUCGGCAAUGGGGGAAACCCUGACCGAGCAACGCCGCGUGAAGGAAGAAGUAAUUCGUUAUGUAAACUUCUGUCAUAGAGGAAGAACGGUGGAUAUAGGGAAUGAUAUCCAAGUGACGGUACUCUAUAAGAAAGCCACGGCUAACUACGUGCCAGCAGCCGCGGUAAUACGUAGGUGGCGAGCGUUAUCCGGAAUUAUUGGGCGUAAAGAGGGAGCAGGCGGCACUAAGGGUCUGUGGUGAAAGAUCGAAGCUUAACUUCGGUAAGCCAUGGAAACCGUAGAGCUAGAGUGUGUGAGAGGAUCGUGGAAUUCCAUGUGUAGCGGUGAAAUGCGUAGAUAUAUGGAGGAACACCAGUGGCGAAGGCGACGAUCUGGCGCAUAACUGACGCUCAGUCCCGAAAGCGUGGGGAGCAAAUAGGAUUAGAUACCCUAGUAGUCCACGCCGUAAACGAUGAGUACUAAGUGUUGGGGGUCAAACCUCAGUGCUGCAGUUAACGCAAUAAGUACUCCGCCUGAGUAGUACGUUCGCAAGAAUGAAACUCAAAGGAAUUGACGGGGG